UACGAAGGGGGCUAGCGUUGUUCGGAAUUACUGGGCGUAAAGCGCACGUAGGCGGAUACUUAAGUCAGGGGUGAAAUCCCGGGGCUCAACCCCGGAACUGCCUUUGAUACUGGGUAUCUCGAGUCCGGAAGAGGUGAGUGGAAUUCCGAGUGUAGAGGUGAAAUUCGUAGAUAUUCGGAGGAACACCAGUGGCGAAGGCGGCUCACUGGUCCGGUACCGACGCUGAGGUGCGAAAGCGUGGGGAGCAAACAGG
rnacentral:rRNA from 1 species